rnacentral:misc_RNA from 1 species
AUGAAGCAUUGAACUCUGUUCCUGAUCAUGCCCAUAAUAAAGAGCCUGAUUCUGAUUCAGACUUCGAAGAAAUAGAUUUCCCUGAAGUUCCUAAAGUGUCUUUACGGCCAAGUGCCAGUGCCUCAGCCCCAGAAAUGGAACCUAUACCAGUUACUGCCCAGCGUAGAAUUGAUCAUGAAUUAUCAAAUCACUAUGCAACUCCCGAAAAUCUAGCUCCGGGACCUUUUUUGAAAGAUGAGGAUGUGACUGAAGAAAAGCCAGUGGCUGCCAAAGACAAAAUGCCCAAUAUUAUGGUUGGUGCCAAGGUCGAAAAACAAUUUUUGCCAUUCAUUUCUCCCCCAUCAGUGGCUUCUACACGCCUUUCAACAAGACAGAUUAAUUCACCGCAUAUCUCAAGGACAAACAGUGAGGCUAAUGUAGAUCUGCAGGAUGUUUUAGCUGC